GUUCAACUGUUCAAAAGCCACCAGCAAUAACAAAUACAGAGGCUGUAGCAGGUUCAUUCCCCAUUACAGCAUGAUCCCUACAGCAGAGCCCGACGAAUCGCUCAACUCCCAUGAUUCAACCAAUAGCAAAACGGGCUGAGGUGGUAUCUGGUCCAUCUCUCGCUACAUCGUAUGUUCUGAAACGCAGCCCGAGGAAUAGCUCAACUUCCACAAUUCAACCAAUACCAAAACAGGCUGUGGUGGUACCACAUCCAUCCAUC